AGCUUGGAGAGAAGGAGACCUUCAUGGAAGUGCAUCAGCCAUGGACUCUCUCCUGUCUUUGUUGGAUCCAUGGGAGAAUCCAAUGAUCCCAGGAUAGAGCAGACUCGAACCAUCUGGAAGAAAUGUAAAGCAGAACCCCAGGAAUAAACCACACAUCCAUAAGUAUCCAAAAGGAUCUGCAGGAUUCUUCAGGCCUGCCUAUAUUUUGUAAGGAGAGUGUCCCAGAAUGAAAACCCAAGAUGAUGGAGGAGUGUCCGCUCGUGAUGUGAAGCACCUGCUCAGCUGGGAACUGAAUUUGAGGUGAAGGAGUGGGACCCCAGCCACCCCAUGCCAGAUUAUAUCCUCACCCCUAUGUGACCUUAUUGCUACUCACACUCUCUCCCAAGCAUGAAAACCCAAGGCGAUGGAGGAGUGUCCCUCACGAUGUGAAGCCCCUGCUUGUCUGGGAAUUGAAUUUAAGAAUGAAAUCCCAGGAUGAUGGUGGAGUGUCCCCUCAUGAUGUGAAUAACUGCUUGACUGGGAACCAAAUUUAAGGUGAAUGUGCAGGACCUCACCAGAUUAUAUCCUAACCACUAUCUGACCUUAUUGCUUCUCACACUCUAUAUCUGAGGAUGAAAUACCAAGGUGAUGGAAGAGUGUCCGUUCAGGAUGUGAAGCACCUGGUUGGCUGAAAACCAAAUUCGAGUUCAACCAGCCCUGUGGAGAGGACUGCCAGUGUCUCUCCCUGGUUACAGGACAAUAAAACACUGGAA
rnacentral:lncRNA from 1 species